AGCUUUGUGCAGUGGCAGUAUCAUAGCCAAUGAGGUUUAUCCGAGGCGCGAUUAUUGCUAAUUGAAAACUUUUCCCAAAUGUGUGGCAUUUUCCCUUAAGUAAAUCCAUGCCAUGAAACUGCAGAGAGGCU
rnacentral:snRNA from 1 species